ensembl:ncRNA lncRNA:CR45438 long non-coding RNA:CR45438
AGUCGAUGUUUUUCUAUCCUUCGUCGAUCGGAUGAACUUGCGAGCUCAGAAGAUGGUUUACUUUGGUGCCGGUCCGAUUUUUGGCACUUUGGCGCAACUAUAUAGCCAAAAUCGGAGCGCACAAGACAAAUUCGCGAAGAGGAAACCUCUGCAGAUGGGCAGUGUGACCGCGGACUUUUUUAAAUCCACACUUCCCGGCUCUGCAGAAUAUACUUUUAAUACUAACUGCAUGAAUACCGAAAAUACCAAACAAAUAUAUUUAAUUAUUUAUUAAAGAAAUAUAUUUAAUAAAUUUACAUAUG